UACGUAGGACCCAAGCGUUAUCCGGAGUGACUGGGCGUAAAGAGUUGCGUAGGUGGUCAGUAAAGCAAAUGGUGAAAUCUGGGGGCUCAACCUCACAGACUAUUAUUUGAACUCACUGACUCGAGAGCAGCAGAGGUAACUGGAAUUUCUGAAGUAGGGGUAAUAUCCGUAGAUAUCAGAAGGAACACCAAUGGCGUAGGCAGGUUACUGGGCUGUUUCUGACACUGAGGCACGAAAGCGUGGGGAGCGAACCGG
rnacentral:rRNA from 1 species